GUUCUCCUGGUGCGUUACACCAGAGGCCCACAGUUGAUGGGUCAGCUAUUUGUAAUGUUUGAUCAACAGGGCAGGCCUGACUCCAGUGCUACAGUUCCCACAAACUUCCACUGAAAUAUUUGAGCAGCCAGUGAUUCCGAUCUUCACCUGGGUUUAUUCUUGCCUCUGGGCUAGAAUUUAAUCGUUUCUCCUAUGCUUAUUCACCAUGAUUCUUCUCUAAAGAACUUUCCCUGAAAUAAAAUCCAUUCAGAAAAAGGCAGGAUAAAAUCAAAGGGAGGAGAGGCAGGUUUAAUGCAAGGAGGAGGAAGCCAACAACUAAUUCCAGACCCAUGGUCUCCAAUAAAUGGCAUUUAAAAAAAAAAGAAAGGAAGACAGAACUGACUUGGGAUAUGUAACCCAAAGGCAAGGCGUGGAUUUUGUUCACCUCCUACUUUUCAACUUAACUUUUUCUAAAAAGCCAUUUUGGGGCCGAGGAAGGGAAUGAACAGGGACAAGCUAUGUCCUAGAGUAUAUCAAGGACUAGCUAUUGAUUUUGUUGGGUGCUUUCGUGAUUUUGUUAAGAGAUACACACUGAAGUAUUUAUGGAUAAAUGAAACAAUGUCAGAUUUGCUCUAAAAUACACCAGCAACAUAAGUAGGUAAGGGACUUCCCUGGUGGUCCAGUGGUCACGCUCCCAAUGCAGGGGGCGAGGGCUCAAUCUCUGGUUGGGGAGCUAAGAUCCUACAUGCAUCACAAAGCAGAAAAAAGAAAAAUUAAGUAAGUGCAUGUGGGCGAUGAAGACACAGAUCAGUGGAAUACAGAUCUCUGCUGAAUCUGGGUGACAGGAACCCUCUGGCCCUUAUUGAUUCCUGAAUAUUCAGGAAUUAAGAGGAGAGACACGCCUUUCCCGGGGCUGAGGAAUCCAGGCAUUUCUCAUUACGGUGACCACCAGGUUCCUGUCCAUUAAAGGACCAACAAGUGGCACCCGAACAGGGACUCUGGUACACGUGGCUUCGGACGGAGUGACCCCCAAGACCUAUUGAGGCCGCUCACAGCCUAUACCACAAGCUGAGGUUUUUUAUAUAGAUGAGACUAAAAUCACUCCAAAUUUUUGUUGUGAAGAGACAAAGAACCGAGGAGCAUACCCUCGCGUGACAAAGUCCUUUCAUUGCCUGGGCCCAGGAAAAUUAUACAUAAACGUCGGCCAACAAACUUGGGCUUUCGUCCUGCCUCCAAAAGAAGACUUUCGGACACUGCUGCCCUUUUUCUGUCGGUGAACCAUGUUUACUACUGAAACUUUAGGGAAAGAGUUAGGGAAAGAACAAAAAACAUUAUGUAAAAGGUUACUAACACAAGAUUGGAACAUUACCAUGACAAAGAACUUCUUGGCUGACACCCUCCUCCUCCUCCUCAAAUCAUCCUCGACAAACAAAUUGGGCCUGAACUAGAGACAUAUAAAACAUAUGGAAACUUGCUGCCAGCACCAAAGAACUUGGGACUUGGACCGGACAUUUCACAGAGACCAGUCGUGGUCAUAGUAACUAUUUCUUUCUCUAUAAUCAGUCAUAUUUUAUACAGGCCUGUGUCCCACUUCCUUUUGUUAUAGCCAUAAGAAAUUUACAACUUGAUCUGUAACUUGUAUUAAUUACCAAUUUUGUGUUACUCCUGUUCAUUUCAAUCAUAGUACCUACAGCUGGGAACAAAUCAAAUUUCAUUUACUUGAUAAUGCCUCUCUGAAUGUACAAUUACUGCAGAAAGGAAAUCUUUAAAACUUUUUCUAAACAUCUGCCCUCUUCCACUAAUUUGGAAACUUUAGCUGAACAAAUUAUUCGGGCUAGACCCACAAAGAUGGUUUCAAAGUAUUACCCACAACAUCGGGUCUAAAACUGUAACUUUGGUAAUUGUCUUGAUAAUUGUAUUUGUUGUUUAUCGUCUCCUUUCUAUAUGGUUGGUUAAUACUAACCAAACUCAUUUGGUCAAGACCUCUUUUUUUUUUACAAAUAUAAUAAAAUAGGGGGAAUUGUCAGGAAGCAUUUAACAAAAGGUUUCCUGUGUGCUGUUUUGGAUCUGUCAGGAACCCUCUGGCCCUUACUGAUUCCUGAAUAUUCAGGAAUUAAGAGGAGAGACACGCCUUUCCCGGGGCUGAGGAAUCCAGGCAUUUCUCAUUACGGUGAUAAGUACCCUCUUCCUUUUUAUGAGCCAUACGGUGAAAGGUGAUUGUUUGCAACUCUCUCUCUUUGAUAGGGAUCGUCUUACUUUUCGUAAAUCUGGAAUUUUAAUCUUUGUCUUUGCUGAGAAGAACCACCUUGUAAGACAGUAUAUGCCCACGCCAUGUUGAUUAAAACACCUUUGCUCCAUCAGAGCUUUGGUCCCCGUGUCUGUCUUUCUUUCUUUCUAUUCCUUCUUUUUG